GCACUGAAGGUGAGAGUUGGUGGGAAACAAACAUAUUGAUCAUCAGGUUCUCUAACAUAUCUAUGGGAAAAACAUGAUCGCUGAUCUGUUUGUUUUCCUCCAAUAUCUCACCUUCAGUCG
rnacentral:pre_miRNA from 1 species